rnacentral:rRNA from 1 species
CAAUGGGUAGAUAUUCAGAGGAACCCAAUGGGGGAAGGCGAUUAUUGGANGAAUCCCUGACUGAGGGACGGAAGGUAGGGGAGCAACCAGGAAUUGAUACCCUGGUAGUCAGAGCUUGAAAGCGGGGACGUUGGCUGUAAAAGGAAUCGACCCUUUUGUUGGCGAAGCUAACGCGAUAAACGUGCGGCAUGGGGAGUACGUUGCAAGGAUUAAAACUCAAAGAAAUUGACGGGGCCUUGCACAAGCGGUGGAGUAUGUGGCUUAAUUCGAUGCAACGCGAAGAACCUUACCUGGCCUUGACAUGCACGUGGUAGAAGCCUGAAAGGGUAACGAUCCCGCAAGGGAAGCGUGCACAGGUGCUGCAUGGCUGUCGUCAGCUCGUGUCGUGAGAUGUUGGGUUAAGUCCCGCAACGAGCGCAACCCUUGUGUCCUGUUGCCACUCAAACGAGAGUUUGGAGCACUCUGGACAGACUGCCUCGCUUAAACGAGGAGGAAGGUGGGGAUGACGUCAAGUCAGGAUGGCCCUUACGGCCAGGGCUGCACACGUACUACAAUGCCCGGUACAGAGGGAAGCAAGACCGAUAGGUGGAGCAAAUCCCAAAAAACCGGGCUCAGUUCAGAUUGUCGGCUGCAACUCGCCGACAUGAAGCUGGAAUCGCUAGUAAUGGCGCAUCAGCUACGGCGCCGUGAAUACGUUCCCAGGCCUUGUACACACCGCCCGUCACAUCAUGAAAGCCGGUUGUACCCGAAGUCACCGCGUUAACCGCAAGGAGACAGGUGCCGAAGGUAUGGCUGGUGAUUGGGAUGAAGUCGUAACAAGGUAAAUCGAAUUCCCGCGGCC